rnacentral:rRNA from 1 species
GAUGAACGCUGGCGGCGUGCCUAAUACAUGCAAGUCGAGCGAACAGACGAGGAGCUUGCUCCUCUGACGUUAGCGGCGGACGGGUGAGUAACACGUGGAUAACCUACCUAUAAGACUGGGAUAACUUCGGGAAACCGGAGCUAAUACCGGAUAAUAUAUUGAACCGCAUGGUUCAAUAGUGAAAGACGGUUUUGCUGUCACUUAUAGAUGGAUCCGCGCCGCAUUAGCUAGUUGGUAAGGUAACGGCUUACCAAGGCAACGAUGCGUAGCCGACCUGAGAGGGUGAUCGGCCACACUGGAACUGAGACACGGUCCAGACUCCUACGGGAGGCAGCAGUAGGGAAUCUUCCGCAAUGGGCGAAAGCCUGACGGGGCAACGCCGCGUGAGUGAUGAAGGUCUUCGGAUCGUAAAACUCUGUUAUUAGGGAAGAACAAAUGUGUAAGUAACUAUGCACGUCUUGACGGUACCGAAUCAGAAAGCCACGGCUAACUACGU